rnacentral:rRNA from 1 species
AUUGAACGCUGGCGGCAGGCCUAACACAUGCAAGUCGAGCGAGCGGCGGACGGGUGAGUAAUGUAUGGGGACUGCCCGAUAGAGGGGGAUAACUACUGGAAACGGUAGCUAAUACCGCAUACUAUCGGAUAACCCAUAUGGGAUUAGCUAGUAGUUGGGGUAAUGGCUCACCUAGGCGACGAUCCCUAGCUGGUCGGAGAGGAAGAUCAGCCACCCUGGGACUGAGACACGGCCCAGACUCAUACGGAGGCAGCAGUGGGGAAUAUUGCACAAUGGGCGGAAGCCUGAUGCAGCCAGGCCGGGUGGAUGAAGAAGGCCCUAGGGUUGUAAAGUACUUUCAGUCGGGAGGCGUUACCGACAGAAGAAGCACCGGCUAACUCCGUGCCAGCAGCCGCGGUAAUA